AUUGAACGCUGGCGGCAGGCCUAACACAUGCAAGUCGAGCGGAGCGGCGGACGGGUGAGUAAUGCCUAGGGAUCUGCCUGGGAGUGGGGGAUAACGUCCGGAAACGGGCGAUAAUACCGCAUACUAGCAGAUGAGCCUCGGUCGGAUGAGCUAGUUGGUGGGGUAAAGGCCUACCAAGGAGACGAUCCGUAGCUGGUCUGAGAGGAUGAUCAGCCACACUGGAACUGAGACACGGUCCAGACUCCUACGGGAGGCAGCAGUGGGGAAUAUUGCACAAUGGGCGAAAGUCUGAUGCAGCAAUGCCGCGUGUGUGAAGAAGGUCUUCGGGUUGUAAAGCACUUUCAUCGGGGAGGCGUUACCCGCAGAAGAAGCACCGGCUAACUCCGUGCCAGCAGCCGCGGUAAUUC
rnacentral:rRNA from 1 species